AGGAGAGAGAGGAAGAAGACAACAAGAACAAGAGCAAGAACAAAGCAGCUUAUGUAAAAUACUGACAGCUUACUGCAAUUUUACAGCAUUCCUCACAAGGUGGUUCAGAAUAGAUCCAGUGGACUGUAGUCUGUUUAACUGAGACCUCACACAUAAUGUCAUGGUUGACAGUUACUGGUUGAAGGAAAUCCAUGUUGGGCUUCUGUGGAUGCUGGAUUCUUUCCUUCUGAGAAGAAAUAUAACACACUGACUUUGAGGUGAUGGUGGAGAAAAAGUACAAGCAGAAGACUUUUCCCAACUUCUCCAUAGGUUCUGUAACUGGAGACUGCCAAUGAAACUGCCAAAAGGCAGAUUAACAGGAGAAAAGACAUACAGACUUCAUCUGAUGUUAACAGUUUAAUUUUUACAUGCAUGGAGGCCUUCAUAGAAAAGAAGUGAAGGCCUAAAGAAGUGAUUAUAACCUGGGACUUAUAUAUCAUUUUAACAAAGAGUAAUAAAUUGUGAAAAGGGGUUUGUCUUCUAAGAGC
rnacentral:lncRNA from 1 species